GCCGCUUCUGUCUCGUUUCUCAGCAGCUUCGGGAAUGGCCAUUGAUGAGAAGAUUUGGGAGUGGUGACAGUGUGUGCAUCUUUACAGACUGUGCCCACCCAUCCCAGGAGCUGGUGUGUCAGCAGAACAGUGAAAGUGGCAGCACACAACAUUUUGAAAUUCAACAAGCUUAGGAGGUCAGAACAUUGGGGAUGAAAAAAGCCUGAGAAGCCCUGGCAGCACGGGGAUGGAGGGAGUGUCUCAGCCUGGGGAAUAUGGAAGUGCCUGGUCACAAAGCACUACAAAUAGUGACACCUGCAUCCCUGUUUUCUGUUAGCUUCUGUUUGCAUUAUCUGAGACUGCUAAUAGAAAACCACUCUGGAGCUGGUGG